rnacentral:lncRNA from 1 species
CUAUUUCGAUUUUAGCCUAGCUAAUUAGUAAAAUAGUGCAUUUUAUCAUCGCGUGAGUUUGUAAAUUGGAGUAUAUAUUUUACUUUGUCACUUUAAAAUUUGAACUCAAAAUCUUAGACUCUGAUAUCAUGUGAAGCAACUAGUUACUCUAAAAGUAUAAGUUGCCAGAAUACAUAUUUUUCAGUAUGUCUAGACUUAAAAUUUUUUAAUGAAUUCAAGACAUGAACUUAAAAUAUUAAAUGAAACGACAUGAAU